AUGCAAGUCACCUGGGGAACUUUUUAAAAUGCAGGUUCUAAGUUACUUGGUCUGGAUGGAGUGUGAAGUCUGCAUUUCUAACAAACUAUCAGGUGAUUGCUGG
rnacentral:miRNA from 1 species